CACGUCAGCGCGCUUUGCUGACGUGGACACAAAUCGCGCUCUAGAGGACGUGAUUUGUUGCCAUGUCAGCAAAGCGCGCUGACGUGG
rfam:Gossypium raimondii chromosome 10, whole genome shotgun sequence.